rnacentral:rRNA from 1 species
GGCCGCACGCGCGCUACACUGAUGAAGUCAGCGAGUUUUUCCAACCUUGGCCGGAAGGCCUGGGUAAUCUUGUGAAACUUCAUCGUGCUGGGGAUAGAGCAUUGCAACUAUUGUUCUUCAACGAGGAAUCCCUAGUAAGCGCGAGUCAUUAGCUCGCGUWGAUUACGUCCCUGCCCUUUGUACACACCGCCCGUCGCUACUACCGAUUGAAUGGCUUAGUGAGACUUUCGGAUGUGUUUGGAGCCGCUGGCAACAGUGACACCUUGCGCAGAAGUUAUUCAAACUUGGUCAUUUAGAGGAAGUAAAAGUCGUAACAAGGUUUCCGUAGGUGAACCUGCGGAAGGAUCAUUA